UACGUAGGGUGCGAGCGUUAAUCGGAAUUACUGGGCGUAAAGCGUGCGCAGGCGGUUUUGUAAGACAGAGGUGAAAUCCCCGGGCUCAACCUGGGAACUGCCUCUGUGACUGCAAGGCUUGAGUGCGGCAGAGGGGGAUGGAAUUCCGCGUGUAGCAGUGAAAUGCGUAGAUAUGCGGAGGAACACCGAUGGCGAAGGCAAUCCCCUGGGCCUGCACUGACGCUCAUGCACGAAAGCGUGGGGAGCAAACAGG
rnacentral:rRNA from 1 species